UGGCGACGUCUCGGCCAGACUUCCUGUGUUUACCUGCAUGUCAACAACACAAACACUCAGCUGUUACCGGUAGUGGAAAGUAACUGAGUACAUUUACUCCACUGCUGUACUUGAGUACAAAUUUGAGAAUGCUGCUGCCGGUCACCGAUGAUUCGGCUCUCUGCAGGUUCUCUCCGAUGUAGUAAACCAGCGAUGCCGUGGCGAUCUCGAAGCAGUGAGGAUUGGCUCCAUCGGGAAGCAGAGAUAAGGUCUGAGCUGGCUCCAAAGAUAAGAUCUCUGACAGAGGGAUCUCCUGCAGAGACGACAGGAAGUAUUUUUUAUUCUUUUCUCAAUUUUUCCAAACUUCAAAAAGUCCAAACUUUAUUAGCCUUACCUUAUAGUAUUUACUUCCUGUGUCGUUCUGAAACAGCGUGAUGCAUUUACUGUCCAGCCGCCAAUAAUGUCUCUUCCUCUGAAACAUAGACGAUGAAGAGGAAGAGGAGGGCGUUAGAUGAGACAACAGUGAGAGAAACUCAACUCCUCCUCAGGCUGGAAACAUUUAUUUUAUUACACUUUUGUUAAUCUAAACCACAACUGGCAGAAAAUGUUUCUCCUUAUCUUUUCAUCUAUUAAUGUUCCUCAUUUAAUCAUCUUGCUGAUAUUAGUUAUAUGCCUAAUUUUCACAUCACAUCUCGUUAUCAGCGCAUUUAUUUCUUUAUUUAUAACAAAAGAUGUAACAAAAGACGGGCCGGCCGAGGUACGAACAAAAGAAAACAACAAACAAUGAGAUUAAAUACAUAAAAUAUCUAACGACAAAGAACGCUCACAGACAAUAUUCACUCAUCUUUAUCCUCAAAGUAAAGCCUGAAAAUAAUGUUUACAAAAGUGUUUUUGCAAGAUCUUAAAUGUGAAAAUGUGUUUUAUCUCUUUAAAGCAGCAGUUCAGUGAAAUAUCUGCAGCUGAUCUCAGACCUGCUGCAUCCUUUAAUGGAUGGAUCAACAGUUCGGAGCCUCAACAACUCGUAAACCUGCAUCGUCGUAAUAAAUACAUUGUUGUAAUUUACAGAAACAUGUAAUACUUUUUACUAGUAAUAAUAAACAUUUUUCAGGACAACAGAUUAUUUAUUUCCAGGAUAUUUGGUCAAUUUAAUCCAGGCGUUUCCAAAUUUCCAAAUUCACAGGUUAUUUACUGACUGAUUUUAUGUCGAAGAACAAAAUGUGAAAAUCUCUCAAUCGGGUCCAGAGGAGGAAAUCUGAUUGGCCACCAAGUGCCACCCCUUCAUCCUCGGCUUUGAAUAUGAAACUAGAAACUUCUGUUGAAUAUUUAAGUAAUUCAAGACAUCAAUAUAGUAAAUAAUGACUAGACAUGCACAAACAGACAGACAGGUGGACAGACAGACAGGUGGAGUACCAGGGUGUCCUUGCUGGUGUAGUGGACCAUCCACCCCUCCUUCAUCACGCUGCUGCUCUUCCUCUUUGUGUGUUUGACGGACUGAACGACUCGCAUCAGAGGGAUGUUGUUACUGGUGGACGGGCUGCAGGGGGCGGGACAAAGAACAACCUCAGUGCCCGAGGAUACCGUCAGGGACAGGUGAAUGACCCCUCAUAAGUCCCGCCCCUUUUGGUCAACUUCCUCCUUACCUGUACUUAGAUAUGCUAUAUGCUAAGCUAAUUUAUGUUGGAAACAACCCCAUUUUGAAGAUGGUUAAAAGAUAAGACACACACACACACACACACACAUAUAUAUAUAUAUAUAUAUAUAGUUGCAUCUUAAGUUUGUGAAUGUUAACAAAAUGCUACCUAACUAAUCUACAUCAAUCAUCUGAGAUAGCUAGUUACAUCUGAGCUAAUUGCUAGCUAAUUAGCUUGCUGGGAAUUGCUAUAGAGUAGCUAUCUAGUUAGCAACCAUUUUGCUAACACUGGCUAAGAUGUGACUAAAUAUACUUUUAUCUUUUAACCACCUUCAAAAUGUGGUUGUCUUUUCAUCAUAGAUUAGCCUAGCACAUAGCAUAUCUAAGUGAAGGAAAGGAAGAAGCUGACUGCAGCUUGCUCAACAGAACAAAAAUGGGCGGGGCUUAGGAACUGUCAAUUGGAGUUCCUACUUUGUAAAAAGCAGAAGUUCGGGUCAGUGAUUCGGGUUGAAUGCUAGUAAACGUGUGUUUCUGUACCUGAUGGCCCGGUUGGACUCGUCCAGGUCGGGGUCGUGCAGGUCGCAGAGGUCGCUUGGCCCCGCGUCCAGCAGGAGACCCCCCUCUGAUGUCAGCGCUUCGUCCAUGUCGUCCAACAGGCCGCCGCCUCUGUCCACAUCAUGGUCGUCAAGGCAACCCUCCACCAUGACGACGUCUGACUCCGCCCCCGGGCUCAGGAGCUCUGCGAAACAAAGACGCCCAGCAGUGAGGACAUUAGGACUUCGGGUUCAGGUGGAUCAGGCCUGUGUGACGCUGACGGCUGGAACUUACCUCCAUUUCUGGAAACUUCUCCCAGGCAGUUGUUUGGCACUUUAGGAGCACAUCGUUUAUGACAGUUGAAUUUACAAUCUGUGGGAGAAACAGAGGAAGCCAUGAGAAUCCUGAGCGGCGGGAUUGUCUCAAAUAAACGUUAAUCAAGGUAUCGGAAGACGCCGACCUUUACACUGCAGGCCCUGUCUGAAGAGGCCUUUCAGCAGCUUCUUGCAGUGCUGGCAGACGGUGGGUCGGGUGUACGAGUGGAUCAGGAAGGUGUGAGGAACUUUGACCUUCGACAGCAGGAUCUUGUCCAGUUCGAUUGGGCGGCCGAUGUAGGACUGUGAGCUCGAGCGCCGUUCUCUGCCGGGGAAAUAUUCUAACUGGUUCUUCUGCUGCGAGGACAGACGGACAGGGAGCUUUUCUAACUGCUGUCACCACUACAGAGACAGUUAAGUAUGAUAAUGUUGUCUGACAUUGACUGCUGUUAGUUAUUGGUUUGAUUAAUGGUUUUAUAAUGUGUGUGUGUAUUGAUUACCAACGGUGGCUGAUCAUCAUCUAAUUGUGAUCAGUUUCUAACAGGAGUAUACAGUGAGUGUUUGCAUCAGUCACAGCUAGAAGUACAGAACACAGUGAAUAAUAUUUUUAUAUAUAACGCAGCAAUAAACUGAACUUUAUGGUGAAAGAGCAGCUUUAUUGAUCAGGAUUAAAGACUCUAUAUUGGAGGAAAUCACACUUUUUAGGUUUUCAUCUUUAGGUGCCAUCAUCUUGUACCUCGACACACAUUAGUGGAGCAAAUAAAUAUCAGAUUUAAUUUAAUAAUUAGAAGUUUAAAUGCAGAUAUAGUACUACAGGACUUACCUCCAUGCUGGGACUCACUGGAGACUGGACCAUCAGAACAAAAGAGAGAAAUAUAGUUAGACUCGGUUUGAUGAAUGAAAUAAAUUAACCACUAAGACAAACUUCCCCAGAAACUCCUGAUUAGUGUUGAAAAUAACAGAAAUGUCAUUUUAACCCUUUAAGACUGCGUCCUCGGUUAUAUCGUCCACCUGUUUAACAAUGUGUCCGAAGCUGCUUCUGUCGACUUCUGUCUCAUAUCGAGGACCCAUUGUUUUAAAAUGAGUUUUGAUGGUACAUCAGUGGCAGUUAUGUGCAGAGCAUGAAAACAAAAAGAGACGUAGCAACGGUAACUAAGGAGGGGGUUACUGAAACGACACUCCCCAUCCAGACCUGUUUUUAGGAUGUAUAUGUUGAGACUCAGUGUACUGACCAGUAAAGCAUCGUCGGUGUAGUGGGGCGGAGAGGGCUCAGCAGAAAGGGGACGGCCCAUGUUCACCAGCCCCCCCGUCAGGGAAACGUUGGACGAACGGCGCCUCCUCACUCCGCUGCAGUUAUUGGGGAUCUUAAAGGCACAACGCUUGUGGUAGUUUAGACCGCAGCCUGGGCAGGAAGAGAGGCUCAACGUUACACCUUUUCCUGUACUUCCGGGACUUAGGAAGGGUUGAUUUGUCGUUAAUGUUACGUCAUUAAGUUCCUACCUUCACAUUUGAGUCCCUGUCGCACGAGUCCCCACAGCAUCUCUCCGCAGUGGUCGCAGAAGGCCGGAGCUCGGUACGAGUGAACGAACAGACAGUGCGGACGGAUCUGGAAGUCCUCCACUGUGGCUGAAGCUGCACAACAUUAAAAAGAUAAAACGGAUACGAGUCAAUUCAACAACCAGAAAAAGAAGCAGUUGUUUAUCUGACUGUGAACAAUUCUACUGAAAACUGUCUUAAAAUGUUGAAUCUUCAAAUGCAUUUGUACUAUAAAGUAGAAUCACUUAAAGGAGUUAAAGUUGUGCCUAUGAGGCAUUGAAAGGUUAAGCUUUAGGUCCGGUUCCUGAAUCGAACUAACACCAGGAUCAUUAUUAGGCCUUUUCCACCAACAGGGAACCUUCGGUUGGUUCGGAACCCAAAAAGUUAAAAUAUAACGUUUUCCUUGGGAAGUCUAUUGAUGAAGCAUCCAGUUACUAAGGUUUCACUCUAAACUGGUGGGAACGCAGGAUCUGGAUCAUUACAUAGCACCAAGGUUCAAAGAAACUUGUCCAGUUUCCAGAUCUUGUGAACAAAAGUGGAGGAAAUUGGUUAUUGGUUUCGCAGUCGGUAAGAAGACAACAAACCCUCAGUAGUUUUUACCUGGGUAUCAUCACAGACCACCUCCAGGUUCUGGUUCUGUUGGUGUGUAACUGGAGAAAAGCUACUAGCUCAGUAUUUAUUGUACUCGGGUCUCUUAACUCUCCAACUCGAUGGCCGUACUUUAUGAAACUAAGGUUAUAUGAGUGUAAAUUAUGAAAGGAUGAAAGCAACUAAAGUUUUAUUUUAUGUUUUAAUCAUAAAAGGAGUAUGAAUCAGUCAAUUUAGUAAGCGAUCAACAAGUCUAUCAGAAAGCUUUAGAGAACUUUCACACCAAGAAACAAAAUGUUCUGUUUGGAGAUUCAUGAGAAAUCAAUUCUCCAUAAAAGCUGAUCAGUAGUUUCACCUCAAGACAUUGAAAUAAAAGAAAAGCAAACAAAAUCGAUCUGAUUCCAGCAAAGCAUCGGCCUGAGAAGCUCUAACAAACCAGUGACUGUGGAAGUGAUUUCUCUGUUCCAUGUUUUUAAAUCGGAGGCGAGCAGCUGCUGAUCUGCGGCGACUGGGCCGGCGGCCAUAAUAUCCAUCUGAGCCUUAACAUCCUCCAGCUGUUUUCACAAAAACCCAGUUGGGAACUUUGGCAGUGCCGAGAACUCCUGCUGCCGAACCCACGACACCAACAAGGGAAUCGACCCAAACUGUUCCCUCCCCGACGACAAAAAACAAACCAGAGAAAUCUAAAAUGGACGUUAAGUCACCUUUGGCUUAAUGAGCUGGGAAACAGUUUGGGACUAAUCAUUUUCUGAUUCAUGAGCAUCUGGUUUUUCUAAUAUCGGAUUGCAAAUUCCUGUUUUUCACAAUUGUAAUUUAUGUCAUACUGAAGCGUUUUGUUGUUUUCUGCUGUUUAAAAGAAAGUUAAACCCUCGCUGUGUUCGCAAAAUCAUGCUAUUUAUCUUUGAGAAAUAAAAGCCUUUUGUAUGUUUGACAAAACAAGACAGAUUUCCCAAAUGUUGACUGUUGUUUGAAGGCCCUGUGGUUGACCUGCACAGGUGUCUUCACUCAUUUUGCCUGACUGGACCUCUGAUUGGACUGUUGUUGCACCUGUCAGGGCAGGAAAACUUACACCCAUCCACCCAACCUGAGCGGAGGAAUAAUCAGCGAUAUCUGUCUCAGUAAAGUUUAAAACUGGUGAAAUUUGGACAGUAAUCAGGAUCUAUCUGAUGGGAUUAUCUGUGUUCAUGGUAAUGAAGGAACACUUGUGGCUCAUUAAAGUGUUUUUAAAGUCCAGGUGAAUUGAAAAAUGUAAUUGUAACCCUUUAAGGUCACAUCCUCAGAUCUAUUGUUCCAAUAUUUAACAAUUUAUGCUAAAAGAUUCACAAAAACUCAGCUUUUUUUGUAUUUUUAUAUCAAAAUUAUUAUUAUAGAUUUUUUUUCCUGUAAAACAAAACUCAUCCUGACAUUCAUCCGUCAAUCAAUCUUUAACUUUCAGCGACACAGAGCGAACACUCAUGUCUAGCUAGCGGAGCUCACUGAUUACUGUACAAACACAACUUUAUCAGAGAUUUGGGUGAAACUGGAUCAGAUUUUAUGGAGACAAUAUUGUCUGGUUUUCUCUCUGACGUCCUCCAGCUAACUGCUAAUGUAGCUGCCGUUAGCGUUAGCAGCCUUCCAGUGAACACAACCUCAGAGACAGACAGAGGACAGUUUGACGACAGCGGUACCGAGGUGUUUGAUGGAGUUUCCUGAUGGACUAAAAGAAGCUAACUGUCGCUAUCAGUAAUGUUAGUUAGCCAUUAGCUAGUUGCAGCUAACAUUAGCCCCGUGGUGGCAGGAGCCCAAACCGCCAAUAAAACCACUUCAGUUCUUUAUUCCCUGCAGUCAAACUGUCCCGGUCUGGACCUGCUGUUCACUGGGAGCUCCCAGAGUCCGUUAAUGGAUCCACUACAGCUGCUGGACCUGAAACUGCCUGUUCUUACAGAAAUACAUAAACACGUGGAAGCAAACAGCUCUCUGGUUUCUGUUUCGCCUGCACUUUAAUAGUUCUUGGACAACUAUGGAGCUCUGUGGCACGGAGGAGGAACAUACAUCGGGAUUAACGGUUGUUACUCUGUGCUGGAUUUGAGUCUGAACAUGAGAUUUGUUGACGAGAAGGAAAAAUAACCGGAGUUACUCGCUAACUAGCCAGAGAUGGAGCGAGAGCAAGAAGAGUGGAGGGAGAUAAACAGAACCACAGAGACAAAGAGUAAUGAAUGGGUUGUUAGCGGGUAUUUUGUAAAUGUUUUGGAGGUAUGAGAGGCUCUUAGCGGGCGCAGAUGGACCGAGUGUUUGUUUGGUUGGCCAGCAGGCUUGGCAAGGCAUGAUGGGUAGUUUGGGAUAUGGCUCCCCUCUUUCUCUCUCUGUAUGUAUUUCUGAAUGUCUCUCGCACACACACUCGCCCUGUGCUGUGGUCCUCCAGGAGAAUACGGCUCUGAUUAGACAUUCUGCUGCAGGAAAUUACCUCCAUUUAUUCAAAUUAUUGUUUAUGCCUUUUGUUUGGAGGGCCAACAUACGUUUGGAAGUCUGAACGAGCUCCCGAACUGUUAUUAUAUGCUUCAGAAAAUGACUUGUGUGCGUGUGUGUGUGUGUGUGUGUGUGUGUGUGAGGGUUUCCUAGGUAGUCCUUGUCUGAAUAUAAAUGCCUGUGUUUAUGUGUGUGUUCUCUGUGGUGGAAUUAGGAGCGUUAAGGAGCGCUCGCUGCUGGCUUGUUAACCCACAACCAGAAAACAAACACUGCGGGUGGAGAAACUGUAAACCAGCAGUGGUGCAACAGCCGGGUGCGAUCUUCUAAUAAUUAUAUUCAUGUUUUAGCUCAUUAGCUCUGUGUGCAACAGCAGACCAAACUUUAAUUAUGAGAUAUCAGCAUUUAAACCUGAAACAUUUCCUCAUUAAUUAAUACUGGACUUUUAUAAAUCUGUCAUUUUAUUCAGGUAACGCUGCGUUUCACCGGUCGCCUGUCGAUGGCGUCAUCUCCCCUUUGUGUCUGCGUCAGCGUUGUGGUUGUCUGUCAGAAGCUGUCAUACAUUGACUAUUGAUCCAGUCUGAAGCCACAUUGUUACCAUCCACUGUUUAGAUCUUGGUGCUUUUUAACUCUAGAUCUGAACCGGAUGAAGGAUUUUAGUCAUCGGACGUCUGGAUCUUAAGUUAUCAGAGAAACAAGCUGCAGAAAAAUCUCGUUUCAAAAAUCCAAUUUUUGUGGCCAUUUCUCAACAUCAAUAAUCUCUCAAAAAUGCACCUAGCUAGCCGCGUACAAAGAAUACACAACAUGUUGACAAACCACUAAUUAUUUAUCUAUAUUAUACAGUUGUCCUCUUUUUGCAUCUCAUUUGUUUGGUUUCCAUGGUAACGCAGGUGAACGGAUGUCUUCAUCGGACAGUUAAAGAGCGUUGAACUAUUAAACUGGGAUUUGAUUACAGUUUCUAUGUUUAUAUUAAAGUUGGAAACUGUUCAUUAUGUGAAUGUUUUUGUCUUUAAAUGUUGUUGUUUUGUAUUUUUUUGUGUAUUUUGUUUAUUUUUUAAUUUGCCUUCUAUUAAAUUUGAAUGUUUGUCUUCAUAACAAACUUUAUUGGAAACUAUAAAUCAUAGAACGAGUGCGGCGGACUGAUGAAAUCCCAUCAUCCUCUGGGUUUAUUGCUGAUCGUAAACAACUUUAAUCAACAUGUGAGCUGAUUAAAACAGCAGCAGAGUUCGUCAACUCGCUCCCCCGGUUAAUAUCAGAGCCAAUAAACAACAACCUGUCUCUGCCAGUGUUUCGGGAAUUAUCAGCAGGUUUGUUUUACAGGUCGGUUGUGACCAAUCAGCUCGCUUGGCUGGAGCCGCCUGUUACACCGCACAAAGUCAAUUUCCUGUUUGUUUCCUCCACACUUCGAGCUGUUGCUGGGACUGACAGAAAGCUGUUAACACAAGUGUUUUUAACCGAGUGUCAGCAUCCUGAGAGGAGGAGAAGGAGGAGGACGAGUAGGAGGAAGAGGAGGAGGGAGGAGGAGGCAGCGGUUCCCAACCUUCUUCCUUAAGCGAGCCCUUUUCUAUCAUUCAUUAUCAUUAUAUCAGUGACACAUGUUAAACAGUGAACUCAGUAAAGUUUGAGUGAUUUGGAUGAAUUAAGAGCCGAUAAUUUCCUGUUUAGGGAACUUUCUCUGUCUGUAUUUAUUUAUUUCUUAACAAUCGUUCAGACUUAAUGAGCUUCUUUUUUGACAAAUUCAAUGUUUUCUUGUCCCUUUCUUUACUGUAUAUUUCUUCAGAAAAGUGAACCGAAUGUUGAGUUAUAGACAGACUGUGUGUAUAUUUAAGUUUUCCUACAGCCCCUUAAAAUCAAGAAGGCCUCGCGACCCCCUAUGAAGCUAUGGUGUGUUUUGGGGGUUAGGGUUAGGUUGUUUGUUUUAAUGGUAAAAAUGUAUUUUAUAUAGUAAAAUAUGGAUUAAAUCUCAAGUAGCACUAAAAUCCUUUCACUGUAUUUAUUACGCUAAAGUUCUGGCAACCACAGCUGCCAAAGAAAAUAACUGUUAAACUGACACUUCAAUGUUUUAACUGUUCACUUACAUUUCUGUCAUUGCUUCUGUUUCAAUUAAAUUAACAAAAUAAAAGCCCAGUUUUAAUUAA